GACCUGCGGNAGGAUCAUUA
rnacentral:rRNA from 3 species